GAGCCUUUGGCGGCUGUGAUAU
rnacentral:miRNA from 1 species